rnacentral:rRNA from 1 species
UGUACCCUACGGGAGGCAGCAGUGAGGAAUAUUGGUCAAUGGUCGGGCGACUGAACCAGCCAAGCCGCGUGAGGGAUGAAGGUACAGAGUAUCGUAAACCUCUUUUGUCAGGGAACAAAGGCGGGGACGUGUCCCCGGAUGAGUGUACCUGCAGAAAAAGCAUCGGCUAACUCCGUGCCAGCAGCCGCGGUAAUACGGAGGAUGCGAGCGUUAUCCGGCUUUAUUGGGUUUAAAGGGUGCGCAGGCGGUCUGUUAAGUCAGCGGUC